AUGCUUCAAUUGUUAGCUGCUACAAAGAAACCCGUGAUUUUCUCAGGUAAUGCUAUUCUGAACCUUACUUAUUCUUCUACAUUUCUUCUUGAUUCUAUAGUGUGCGUUAUUGUUGUAGAUACAGAAAGAAGGUUGAUGCCGAUGUUGCGGAGGUAUGUAAAGAUGAUCGUUGAAGCAUUGUUAUAG